rnacentral:rRNA from 1 species
AAUGACGGUAUCUGGGGAAUAAGCAUCGGCUAACUCUGUGCCAACAGCCGCGGUAAUACAGAGGAUGCAAGCGUUAUCCGGAAUGAUUGGGCAUAAAGCGUCUGUAGGUGGCUAUUUAAGUCCGCCGUCAAAUCCCAGGGCGCAACCCUGGACAGGCGGUGGAAACUACCAAGCUGUAGUACGGUAGGGGCAGAGGGAAUUUCCGGUGGAGCGGUGAA